CUAGACAUAAAAGUUCUCCAAGACCUCACCUGACUCAGGAGCCCAGCUUGCUUCGCCUAAUGGAUCCCAUGCCAGGGCUGCGGGUGGAGCUGCCCACUAGUCCCAUGCUGCACGCCUGCACUCCUGAGCCCUUGGGCGGUUGAUGGGACCAGGCGCCGCAGAGCAAGGGGCGGUCUCCAGUCCUUUCUCAUGAGGGAGCAUACUCCUCUGCCUUAUUGCAGUGGCCUCAGGGAUAUGGAAUUAAGGCCCACCUGGUGUGAUGAAUAAACCCAGACUCUCAGCAACGCAGGAAAAAAACACUGGCUGGCAAUCUGGAGUAAAGCAUCCUCACAUAUCACGUGAACCAGGAAACUCUGUGCACAGACUGAGGAAAAAAAAAAAAAAAACACUGGGAGAGCUGUCUUUUAGCACAGGCACUACCCCUAGAAUUUCCAGUACACCAGCACAAGCCUGGAAACCACAUCCUUAUCAAAAGACAGAAAGAAAAAAACUCGAGCCAGCCUGGGAAGGACCCUAUUUUUUGCUGUUAACCACUGAGACUGCCGUCCGCACAGCCAAGAAAGGAUGGACCCACCAUACUCGAGUCAAGAAAACAUCUUCUUUGUCAGAAUCAUGCGUUACUGUACUAGGAUUAAGCCCUACUAAGUUAAAGUUAAAGAAAGCUUAA
rnacentral:lncRNA from 1 species